CGAACGGUGAACACGGAGCUUGCUCUGUGGGAUCAGUGGCGAACGGGAGAGAGGGACGUGAGCAACCUGCCCCUGACUCUAGGAUAAGCGCUGGAAACGGCGUCUAAUACUGGAUAUGUGACGUGACCGCAUGGUCUGCGUUUGGAAAGAUUUUUCGGUUGGGGAUGGGCUCGCGGCCUAUCAGCUUGUUGGUGAGGUAAUGGCUCACCAAGGCGUCGACGGGUAGCCGGCCUGAGAGGGUGACCGGCCACACUGGGACUGAGACACGGCCCAGACUCCUACGGGAGGCAGCAGUGGGGAAUAUUGCACAAUGGGCGAAAGCCUGAUGCAGCAACGCCGCGUGAGGGAUGACGGCCUUCGGGUUGUAAACCUCUUUUAGCAGGGAAGAAGCGAAAGUGACGGUACCUGCAGAAAAAGCGCCGGCUAACUACGUGCCAGCAGCCGCGGUAAUACGUAGGGCGCAAGCGUUAUCCGGAAUUAUUUGGGCCGUAAAGAGCUCGUAGGCGGGUUUGUCGCGUCUGCUGUGAAAUCCCGAGGCUCAACCUCGGGCCUGCAGUGGGUUCGGGCCAG
rnacentral:rRNA from 1 species